rfam:Salmo salar isolate Sally breed double haploid chromosome ssa01, whole genome shotgun sequence.
AAUAAAAAUAAAUAAAAGUCGCUCUGGAUAAGAGCGUCUGCUAAAUGACUAAAA